UUCAAAUCCCAGCGCAAUGAUCUGAGUGAUUUAACCUCCUAGUAUCUCAGUUUCCUCCUCCGAAACAGCGUGGAAUCCGAUAACCAAGGUUAUCUGGAGGAGCCCGUGACUUAGCCCUGGUGCCAAGUUCGUCCUCGGCGUCCGGAGCGGAGCUGCUGGGCCGAGCAGGAGAAGCCCGCGACCGGCCUCACCGCGCCGGGGCGUCGGGAUCACGACGGCGCUCGCUCGCUAGCUCGCACCCGCCAGCCCCCAGCACAGCGUAUUAUUUUUCUUCCCUGACGCAAGCUCUUUUCCCCGCUGUGCCAAACAUUCCCGCUGGGUGUCUGGAAGGAGGCAGAAGGGUACGUGCGAUCCAGCAGCACAAAGUUUUCCGAAAUCCGAGCACGAAUCGCCGCAGACACCGCCGCGUAGGCCUCGCGGGACGACAGACAUUACCACUCUAAUGCAUUUCUAGAAUGCAAAGCGUAAUAGAAAUAGCGUCCAUGAGAAAGACGAAUGUAGAUAAAUAUGACUCAGUGGACCAGAGAAAAGCCGGAAAGCAUGAAUUCCCGUAAAGACCCAGAUGUUUCCUGCCUCAGCCUCCUGAGCGCUGGGAUCACAACCGUGCACCACCACGCUCUGCUCUUUGACCCCCUCAUAAAGGGACCCGCAGCCGUUUAGUACCUGGCCUGCUCUGCGGGACUUUGGAGGCCUCCUGUACUGCGGACCAUACCUGGCGUUUGCUUUCUGCUCCACUCAGUAGGCACAGUUCCUCUGCCCCAGCCCCAUCAGCCCCUGCAGCUGGCCUGUCUCUGCCCUGACACCGGUGGGCUUGUGACCUCUCACACUGGGACUGUUUCUGACCAGAUAAGCAGCAUAUAUAAUACAUAAUGCAUAUAUAUAUAUAUAUAUAUAUAUAUAUACUACAUACGGUACUGAGUAUAUAUAAUGCCUGUAUAGAAUAUAAAGUCUUGUGUAUAAAAUACUGAGUAUAUUAUGUAUAAUGUUUAUCUGAUUAUUAAUAAAGCUGGGCAUGGUGACAGACACUUGUAAUUCUGCACUCAGGAAGCUGAGGCAGAAGGAUCAUGGAGAGUUCAAGAUCAUCCUGGGAUCUUGAAAGAGUUCAAGGUCAGCCUGAACUGCACAGCAAGACUGUGUCUCAAAAAAAAAAAUCUAGGCUGGGAGUGUCACUUGGUGGUAGACCACCGGCUUAGCCUCCAGAAAGUCCCAAAAUAAAUAAGUAAUUAAGUGUAAUGAGUAUAUUCAAAAAGACCCCUAAUAUCUAUUCUUUUGAGGACUUAGGGGGGUCUUUUAUUUGUUUUUUGAGACAAGGUCUCUAUAGUUCAUGCUAGCCUUGAAUGCACUAUAUAGCUGGUGAUCCUCCUGCUUCAGCCUCUGAGUUGCUGGGAUUACCGGUAUGCAUCACCAUAUCCGACUCCUAAACACUGAUUCUUCCCGAGAGCUCCUUUAGGCUGCUGUUCUAAAUCCCAAGAACUGAGUCAGGAGCCGAGUAUUCGAGUUUGGUGGCCAGUCAUUGGGAGUACAGGUGCCAUGGCUGAAGACUCAAUCCGAGGUGACAAAGUCCCCGCCAGGAGAGCAGCAGCGUGAGCAGCCACCUGUCCCCACUGCCCGCAGCCCACACAGCGUGAUCGUGGCCACGCUCCACGUACACUUACUGCAGAAGCAGAGACAACACAGUUCGGCUGCAAAUCAACACAGAGCAAAGGAGAGGAUCGAGCCGCAUGGAGCUUCAGGAAGACUUGCAUCCAAUCCCAGGAACUUUAGUCAGUGCUGAGGUUUUCUUGACUGCUUUUGCUUCCGUGCACCAGAAAGUCUCCGGGAGCAGGCUGAGCCGCGUGACAGGUUGGAAAAACAACUCUUUUGGACUCAGAAAUUUGACUGUGAAAGUUUUUGACUUUGGGAGAAACUUGUCAGAAGUCAAGAUUCUACAUCUACAAAAAUGAGUAUUUUCAGUCUGAUGGCACAGGCACAAGAGGAGCUGGGACCAGGACUCAAGAAGUAGCCAGGGGGCUGGGAUGUAGUUCAGCGGCACAGCACCUGCCUGACAAGCACAAGGUCCUGAGUUCGAUUCCUGGUGCCAAAAGUCAGUACACAAUCAGCCCCUGGCUUGGCUUGUGCUGCCUCCUUCCUUCAGUUGUCUGGAAAGCUCUGGGUCCUGGUGUUUAUGUUGCAGAAGAGAGAAAACAGCUGUAAAAUGCUUAAUGAGCCCGACUUCAAACACAGCCAUGCAGCGCGCUGAUUGGCACACAGUCUGCUCCAGCCGGGCUCCACAGUGCCCCGCCCCAAAAGCCCCAGUGCCACGGCCAAGUGGCCAGGCUGGACGGUUGGCUUGCCGGGCACACUAUCCCAGCCAGUGGCUCCUGGGGCCUUGCCACCUAGCGGUGGCACUAAGCGUGAACAUGGCAGUACACGGGACACCUCUGGGACACGGGGUUUUUAUUAAUGAGUGAUUUUUUUCAGAUGAGCUCAUGCCCAUGCGGGGUGGUUUGGCCAUGGACAAUUCUUUCUUUUUUUAAAAAAAUUUCUGUUUGCGGCUGGAGAUUUAGCUCAGCAGCAUAAGCGCCUGCCUUGCAAGCAGGCAGUCAUGAGUUCAAUCCUGAUAAAAAGGAAAAAGACCAAAAAAAAAAAAAAAAUUCUGUUUUUUUUUGAAGACAGAGUCUGUCACUAUGUAGCCCAGGCUGCCUUGAACUCAUGAUGUAGUCCAGGCUGGCCUCCAACUCACAGUAAUCCUCCUGCCUCGGCCUCCCAACUGGAGGCUGAUAAGGUUCAUAAGAAUUAGCUGCUUUUGUAAGGCCUCCAAGGAAAGACUCUGUGAAUGUUUGUGGCCUGCACUCAACCCCAUCUUCCUCUCAGUGUUUCUGAUGAAGGUAACACUUCGGGGAGAAGAGCCGCUGAACUCCAGGAUUUUAUAACUGGUACCUGUGGGGAGAAAUAUUUCAGGGAAAGGCAUAGAUUCCACCUGAAGCUUGGCUUCUCUACCUAUAGGGUUAUGAAGUUUCAGUGAGAAGAGAUACAUAAAAUCAAUGUUUUGGGUUUUUUUUGUUUUGGAGACAGGCUCUUUUUGUGUAGCUCAGGCCAGCCUUGAACUCCUAGCAACCCUCCUGCCUCAGCCUCCAGAGUGCUGGGAUUUCAGGCACUUACCACCGAGGCUUGAGAAGAGAUACACAAAGCCCCAGGCCCAGUGAAAAUAAAGCACGCAGGUGGGCAUGGCCAUAUGCUUGUGCAGUCCCAGCUAUUCGGGAGGCAAGAGGAUUGCUCGAACCCACGAGUUUGAGGCCUGAGCAACACAGAAAGACCCUGAUUCUAAAGCUAAAUAAAUAGUAGAGGGGCUGGGGAUUUAGCUCAGCGGCAUAAGCACCUGCCUUGCAAGCAGGCGGUGGUGAGUUUGAUCCCCAGUACCAAUAAAAAAGAAAAAGACAAAAAUAAAUACAUAAGUAAAUAAAUAGUAGAGCACUUGUGUCCUUACUCCGAAGCCAUGUUAUAAUCAUGGGCCUACAAGUUAGGAGAUGGCCCUGGUCAUUUUCAUCCGUCCAAGCUGCUCCCAAAGGGCGGGGUAUCCAACUGCUGCCUAGGGCGUGCGCAGCACCCCAUCCCAGACUGUACCCUAACAUUACCACCCUUCCCUCCGUCCCACAGCCUGCAGGCUCCGGGUUUCCGUGGUAACCCUGGAAGAUUAGGGAACCCCUCAUUAGGAGGCAGGGCCCCGGAGCUGUCCAACCUUGACCACCGGAUCAUCCGGAUUCACCCUCCCGCUGCAGGGCAGAGCUGGCUUCUGUUCCCAGCUGGCCCUGGACAUCCAGCGCCGAUUCUCAGUGCAGAGCAGGAGCUGGGACCCAGGACCACAGGACUCCCAGGUCCUUCGAUGUGGAGGCCCAGGGCCAGCGCAGCUUCUCUGGAAAAGCGUGUGGCUUGGAGCUCCCUGGGGUGCAGUGGUGAAUGCUCCAGGCUGCUCUAGGGCUCUGCCUGGAGAGAUUCCCGAGAGAGAGCCCACAGGGCUGGGACUUAGCCCCUUGUGAGACCACUUGUUCCAUUCUAAAUGGACACUCAGUUUGGCAUUGGACGUGACACCUUCUUUUCCUUAAAGUAGCACCACAGUGCUAGGCGUGGUGGUGCACACCUGUAAUCGCAGCACACCGCAGGCUGAGGCAAGGGGAUUGCUUCAAGUUUGAUACCAGCCUGGGCUGCACAGUGAGACCUUGUCCCAAAAAACAAAAGCAAACAACAAAAAAAGAGAAAGAAAGAGGCCAGGAAGAGAAGCAAGAAGCCAGUUUACCCUUCCUGUGAGCCAGCUGCCCCCCAGAAGCAACUGGUGGGUUCAGAGGAGCACAGGCUGAGUUGAUAGCAACCGAGGUGCAAAACCAACUUCAUACUUGUGUUGACUGAUUAACUUUGCAGGCCUACAGCCCGUAGUGUGAGCAGCUGUCUAGAGGAUAAUGAUAUGCAAUAUAUGCAAUAUGCAAUAUAACAAUAUGGGGGGUCUCCUGUCUUGUUUUUGAAAUCCGAUAUUGUUCUGUUUUAUUGUGUCCCAUUUUAUUGUUUUGUUUUCUUCAAUGUUCUGUUUUGAAUGGUUUCAUUCUGUUCUGGUUUGUUUCAUUCUAUUAUGUCUGAUGGGAUGGGCAGUAAUCCUGAAGAUAACAAGAGACAUUAUGGGAGCCCUGGUUUUGU